AAGAGUUCAAGAAGAAGAGAAGUAAAUUAAAGUUUUAUUUGAGUGACUCGCAAGGGUGAGAAAAAUAAUCAGUAAUUGUAAUUAUUUUUCCUGAAUUUAUUAGUGGAAUAAGCUUACACAAAAAACACGUUUUCUUUAAUGUGUGUGGGUGUUCACAACAGAAAAGUACUUGCAAUGGAUCAUUCACAUAUUACCCACGUCAAAAUCUGAUACAACCAAAGAUGUAACGAAGGAAAUUUCUUGAGAAAGUGACAGAAAAG
rnacentral:misc_RNA from 1 species